UAGGGAAUCUUCCGCAAUGGACGCAAGUCUGACGGAGCAACGCCGCGUGAACGAAGAAGGUUCUCGGAUCGUAAAGUUCUGUUGUUAGGGAAGAACACGUACCAUUCAAAUAGGAUGGUACCUUGACGGUACCUAACGAGAAAGCCCCGGCUAACUACGUGCCAGCAGCCGCGGUAAUACGUAGGGGGCAAGCGUUGUCCGGAAUUAUUGGGCGUAAAGCGCUCGCAGGCGGUUUUUUAAGUCUGAUGUGAAAUCUUGCGGCUCAACCGCAAGCGGUCAUUGGAAACUGGAGAACUUGAGGACAGAAGAGGAGAGUGGAAUUCCACGUGUAGCGGUGAAAUGCGUAGAGAUGUGGAGGAACACCAGUGGCGAAGGCGACUCUCUGGUCUGUAACUGACGC
rnacentral:rRNA from 1 species